UUUUUGCCUCCUCUGCCCACUUUGGAUAUCGCGGAAGGCGCACUAGACAAUAUGAUCGACAUUUACAAGACGAUUUUGCCAAAAGUCCAAGGAUACCUUCAAGAAGAUGGGUACUUGAUAUGUGACAACUUUGAGGAACUCUUGAAGAGGA
rnacentral:ribozyme from 1 species